CAUCACGCUACAAGGUCUAUCUAUAUUCAUACACCACGCUAAUCUAUUUUACUACAAGUAGGAUACAGUCGCUGGAGUUUGUGUGUUUUCUAAUCUAUUUUACAAGAAGUCACUGGAGCUUGGAUAAGAUCGGCACAAUGAAUAGAGCUAUAUCAUUGGUUGUGUGCCUGGUGUUAAUGACGUCACUUAGCAACGGAUCAAAGUGCAGUUCGAGGUCGUUUGGUGGAACCUAUCUGGACGUCAAUGCUCUUUUAGAUAAUUUGGAUGCCAAUAAUGAUGGUAAAAUCAGCCUGACUGAAGAUAGAAACCAUAUUGUAUUAGGCGAUACAUCAAAUGAUGGUAAAAUAUCGAGAGGAGAAUUCGUCAACAGAAUGGUUAAUGUUUACUGUUAUCAGAAGAUGCUGGCCAGUUAUGCGUUCGAUAUGAUAGACAGGAAUCAAGAUGGUUUCCUCACGGGCACUGAUGUACUAGUAUCCAAUUUUGGUGCAACUGGAGAGAUGGAUCGUUCUGUUAUGGCCAUGCGUUUACAAGCUUUGGAUACACGUGCAAGAAAAGCAGAUAUGAAAUAUAAGACACUAUUUGCAUUGGUAAAACAGACAUAUGACGGAGCAGGACGUUGGUAACUACCCGGUCAAUAUUUUAUCAUUUAAAAUGACAAAUAAAUUAAUUUGAAAACA